UACGUAGGAGACGAGCGUUGUCCGGAGUUACUGGGCGUAAAGGGUGCGUAGGCGGUCCUAUAAGUAUGGUGUGAAAUCUCCCGGCUUAACUGGGAGGGUGCGCUAUAGACUGUGGGACUAGAGUGUGGGAGAGGAAAGUGGAAUUCCUGGUGUAGCGGUGAAAUGCGCAGAUAUCAGGAGGAACACCGGUGGCGAAGGCGGGACUCUGGGCCGGAUACUGACGCUG
rnacentral:rRNA from 1 species